UACGAAGGGGGCUAGCGUUGCUCGGAAUGACUGGGCGUAAAGGGCGCGUAGGCGGAUGGCACAGUCAGAUGUGAAAUUCCUGGGCUUAACCUGGGGGCUGCAUUUGAUACGUGUUGUCUAGAGUGAGGAAGAGGGUUGUGGAAUUCCCAGUGUAGAGGUGAAAUUCGUAGAUAUUGGGAAGAACACCGGUGGCGAAGGCGGCAACCUGGUCCUUGACUGACGCUGAGGCGCGAAAGCGUGGGGAGCAAACAGG
rnacentral:rRNA from 1 species